rnacentral:tRNA from 1 species
UCAAAGGUAGUUUAUGACUAAUUUGCAUUUAGUCGAUAUGAUGUAAUCAUACUAUUGUG